rnacentral:lncRNA from 1 species
AAUUAAAUUUUUUAAUUCUAAUUUAUAUUUUUAAAAAGUAUUUUUUAUACCAAAUACUUUUGAAAUUUUUAUUUUGUAAAUUACUUUUUAAAUAUAUUAAUAUAAAAAAUUGUGUACCAUACAUUACAAACUUUCCUCUCAAUACUUUCCUUUAAUCUAAAAAUUUUGCUUUCCUCUCGUUUCCUUCCUUUUUUUCACUCCAAAAUCCGGUCUUUAGUAACACAAGUGUCAUCAUUUUCUUCCCAUACUAGCCCCCACCCCUUUCCCCUACACUUCAUCCUUUCCAUUUUAUAUUAGUCUCGCGUUGUGCUCUUUCAUUCUUCAUGUCUUCUUCUUCAAAUAUUAGUCUCCCAUCUCUCUUCCCUGUUUUUUCAUCUUCUUCCUACACCUGUUUUGCACUUCUUUCUCUCUCUCUCUCUUCUUCUUUCUAAUAUGUAUCUUUAUUGACAAUAUUAAAUUGUGUAGUUUAGAAUAUGUUAUUUAUUUUAUAUUUUAAUUUUUUAUAUUCUGAAAGUCUUCAUAUUAAACAAUCAGAAACUAAAAGUGAAAAUUCUAAAUCAGAAGGUAAAUAUGAAAUUUUAGAAUUUACGAUGUUGUGAUUGAAACUAUGGAAUGGAAGUGCAGGAAGAAACUACCAUGAUUUAUAUGCUUAAAUAGGUCGUUGGUUAUAUUUUUGGGAAAGUUCAUCUUUUUUUCGCAUUUGUCAAGAUUCAAAGCCCAAAACCAACGACGACUCAGUCCUAAGAUACUCCAAUUUGAGAGGUGCUCCUUCCACACCACAACCUUCUUCCUACACUUCCCUAAUUUAUAUUUUUUCCAAAAAUAUCUUUAGAUUAAUUUUUUUUUUUAACUUUUUAUAUUUUUAAUUAAAAAUCUUAGCAUGGGUUUGUUUGCGAAGAUUUACUGCAGGUACAUAUUAGCAGAGAUGGAUUUGAAUGAAUUUAUAUAUUUGGUUAUGUGGAUUGCAAACAAGUAAAAACAAUAAUUUACACGAUAUAUAUUUUUUUCCAUUCUCGUACAUAUGAGCAUAUUUAAGAUGAUUUAUAGAGAAGUAUCAUAUUUAACCUCUCUGUAACACACUCAUUUUAUAGUUAUAUUGUUUUUAUUAUGUUAAAUGUCAUUAUUCUGACAUUUAAAGCACUACUUCUUUAAAAAUAUAAAUUAUUUUUUAUUUUGAUGAAAGUUGAUACAUAUAUAAUAUUUUCAUUUUUAGAAGUUAUUAUUAUUGAAGUUGUUUCCUCCAAUGAUAACAUGUUCUCACCUCAUAUAAUUUCAUAUAUUUUUUAAUUAAAUAAAUUUUAUAUUUUUUAUUUUUAGAUAACUAUAUUAUUGAUAUAUUCACUUCUUUUUAUUUUGAAUAUUCAAUUUGGUUAUAAAAACAAAAAAAUUAUAGAAUUAUUUCAAUUAUGAUUAAAUUAUAUUACUAAAUUACAAAACAAAUUUACAUUUUUUAAAAUUAACUUUAAUAAUAAAUUUUGAUUUUUACUCUUUAUAAACAUUUUUACAAUUAAAUAUAAUAUUAAUAAAUAACAUUUUAUAUUACUAUAAAUAACUAGGAACAUUUUGGUAAUCUUCAAUUUCUACAAAUUAAACUAAUUUUUUAAAUCUGUCACAUCAAUUAAAUCCUGAACUAAUUCUCACAAACUUUAUACUCAAAUUCACUCUCAAUUACCCACAAAUUCACUCAAAAAAAAUAACAAAAAGUUUUUCCUUAAAUCCAUUCAAAUCAUCUCCUCCAAAUCAUCUUUCCUAAAUCUUACUAAACAAACACACCCUUAAUUCUUUAUCCUUAUUCCAGCACAACACACCCCCUUCCCCCUCUUCUCCAUCUUUUUUCCAUUUUCAUUACUCACCUUCACAUUUGUUUUUAACCUUCUUCGAUUUUCGCAAUGGUCAUUUUAUCAUCACUAAAAUAAUUUUUGGAUUAUAUGUUCUAGAAAGUUUUGGGAAUUUCAAAAACAAUAUUUUCAAUUUGGAAGUAUAAAUUACAUUUUAAAAUAAGUUUUUUUUGCCGAAUGUGAUAUAAAAAAUAAACUUUUUGAAUAGCUUAGAACACAUUACACGAUUUCUCUGAAAUAUUCUUCUAUGAAAUGUUUGAAAAAAUGAGUGAGGGUGGGUGACGAAAAUAGAAAGGAGAAAGAGAAAAGGGAGAGGGGGUGGAUGACGGAAAUGGAAAAAAGAAAGAGAAUAGAGGAUGAUUGUUUUGUGCUGGAAUGAGAGUAAAGAAUUAAGAUUUUUAAUUAAAAGUAUAAAAAGUUAAGAGUAAAAGUAAAAAAUCUAAGAAUAUUUUUGAAAAAAAUAUAAAUUAGGGAGGUGUAGGAAGAAAUUGUCGUGGUGGAAAGAGCAACACCCCUCCAAUUUAUUCGGUUAAAACGUUUUUGCAUGUUUCCCAUUGAUUCAUUUGCGAAAAAAAAAAUUGUAUAGCAGUGUUUUAAGCGCAAAUAGAUAUUUAAAUUUAUUAAAAUAUAAAUAAAUAUUAAUUUUGAAUUUUUUUUCCACUAGUAUUUUUUAUAUUUUUAAUUUGAAUGAAAGAAAGUGUAACAAAAAAUAAAAUAUUUUAAUGAAAUAUUUUAAUGUUUAAUUCAAUAGGAAUUUAAAUUUUCAUUAGUACAUGAAAAGAAAGUUCAUACAUUUUAAUAUCUGUUCACUUUCAAAAUCUUGAUUAAACAAAUGAGUCGCAUAAUCUGAGUCUUGAUGUGCAGAACAGAUUGUAAAUAUCAUAUUAAUUUAUGUCAUGAUAUCAAAAUUAUCAUCAAAAUCAACAUCAUUUUCAAAUUCAGAUUCAAUGCAUGUAUGUAGAAAAGAUAGAAAAAAAUGUUCUUUCUUAUGCAAAGAAUCAAAUUCACCAACAACUAUUAAUACCCUGGCAAGUGUACCAGAUCGUAUCAAGUAAUAAUAGACUUAGUAAGUCUAGAUAUCGUUUCCCAAGGAACUCUUAGCCUAGACGUUCAUGUGAAUUGAUUUCAUAAGACUUGAAUGAAUAAUAAUUUGAUUCUGUAAUGCAAAGACAAAAAUAAACAUGUAUGCAAAAGUGUGAUCAAUUGACAGAUAAAGAUAUGGAUGGAUGGUGUUGUUGGGGUUUACGGUUUCAUCCUGAUCCACCUUCUUAUAUCUACUAUUCCUAUUAGAUUCAACUUUAUUAUCAAUGUUCAUGCAAUUUUCUAAUUUACUCUAAACCCGAUCCCUCGGCGAAAAGAUCCUAUUACCAUAAUUACUAGUUUACUAUUCCUAGUCUCCCUAGCAAUUACUAAUGCAUUAAUAACAGAAGCUUAAAGCAAUUGACCGUCCUAUUCCUAUCCCUAGGCAAUAUUUCAUAAUCAAGAGAAUUCUUCUCAGUUCUAGAUUUCCCCAUACGUUCCCAUAUCGACAAAAUCAAAGAUAAUGACAUUGAAUGAGUUAAACAAUGCAAACUUUAAAGUACAAAGAAGAAAACCCAAACUAUUGAUAACGAAAGUAUAUGAAUAAAAUAAGAACUUCGAUAUAAAAGAGUUUCAAAAGGAUUACAUCGUUCCCCAACAACAAAGGGUUUAGUUCACCAUUGUCAUGGUGAAACUAGAUGAAUUGAAUGGAAAGAAUGAAAAGAUAAACCCUAGAUUUGGUAUAUUGGAGUUCCCACAUCUAAAAUCAUCCUCCAAGGGGUGAAAAAAGUGUUUUGUCGUCUUUCUCUGCCAAAAGAUAACUCUAAGGGUCACACAAAUCUAUUUAUAAACUCAGAAAAAUAGUAUAAUUUUGGCCUAGGCCCAUAAGUAUAGGCUCAGCGCUGGGCUACUACUCAGUGGUAGGUGCGACACUCAAAAUAGCGUCCAACGGUGUCGCCCAAGCGAAAAACCGUGAAAAACUGAAAAAACUGGCGCUCAGCACCACCACUCAGCGCUGCCCUAGCACUCAACGUUGCCUUGGCGCUUAGCGCCACCUGCGACACAAAACUACACUCUGGUCAAUUUUUCAGCAUUCUGAUCAACUAGUUGACUUUUCUGGUUGACUGGUUGACUUUUCUGCAUUCUGGUUGACUUUUCUGCACUACAACUCUUUGAUAAUUCAACCCUUCUUUCAAAUCAUUCAAUAAACUUACAAAAUCAAGGGAAACCAAGCAUAAAACCAAAAAAACCAACUUUGACUCUAUUGUUCUCUAACUUAAGAAAAAUGCAUGAUUUCAAGUUAAUUCUAAGCCAAAAAGGGUGUGAUUUAAUAUCAAAAUUAAGUAUGAAAAUAACGAUUUUUCAACCGUUAUCAACAACAUAUUUAUCAAUAAUGUCAUCCAACAUGUCAAUCUUAAGAACAUAAUUGUCCUCAGCUGGAAACUUCAUUGCAUCAAGAAUAUUGAAGUGAACCACAAUAUCAACAAUUUCCAUGGAUAAAGUUCUAGCAUACACAUCAAUCUUGGUUCGGACAGUUUUCAUAAAUGGCCUGCCUAAGAUGAUGGGAGCGGAUCCAUGACAAAAACCCUCCUCCAUUUCCAAAACAUAAAAGUCGUCAGGAAAAAUCAGUUCACCAACCCUAACCAAGACAUCCUCUAUGUAACCUAUUGUGUGGGUAACACUCCUGUUGGCCAACUGAAUGACCACACCUGUAGAUUGCAAAGGACCAAGAGACAAAGAUUUGUAUAUAGACAAAGGCAUGACAUUUAUAGAAGCAACCAAAUCAAGCAUGACAUUUUCAAAUUUACUAUUUCCAAUCACACAAGGAAUGCAAAAUGUACUUGGGUCCUUGCACUUUUCAGGAAUGUGCAGGACCGACCUACCAAUAAGCGCAGAAACAUUCCUACCCAUGUUAAUCCUUGCAUUGUCUUUCAUAUUCCUCUUGUGUGUGCACAACUCCUUCAAGAACUUUGCAUACUUCAGAAUUUGUUUGAUCGCAUCAAGUAGAGGUAUGUUCACCUCUACCUUCCUGAAGGUCUCCAAUAUUUCCUUGUCCACCUCUUCCAUCUUUUUGCUAGGAAUCGCCUUUGGAGGAAAGGGAAGAGGGAUAGGUCGCUCAAGUAAAGGAGAAGAUGCACUGGUGGUAGUGGUGGAAGAAGAAGAAAGUCCACCUGGAAAAGAAGAACAAACACCGGAAGAGGAAGAAGGUUCACCCACCUCAAAUGUCUUGCUUGGACCAACCUGAUCCUCUUUUCUGAGGGGAGUAGUAGAUGUGGACGUAGGUGUGGGAGUUGGCUCUGUGGGCACAACAAUCUGCUUCCCUGAUCUGAAGGUAAUGACGCUCACAUUCUUCGGAUUUUGCACAGUCUGGGAUGGUAACUUAUCUGAACAGGAGGAGGCACAAAUCUAUUAGGACCUACAACGUUCUGGAAAUGUGGUGGUUGUUGUUGUUGUUGUGGGUGUUGUUGUUGAUGAUGUGGAGCAUUGUUCCAUCUAAGAUUAAGGUGAUUCCUCC